rnacentral:pre_miRNA from 14 species
GGUGCAGCGGGGCAAUGACCUGAAGCAGGUAGGCAGUGUAAUGUUAGUUGGCUGCUUUGGGUCAAGUCAGCAGCCACAGGUACGCUGCCACUUGCCUCUGGCUAAAUUGCUCUUGCUCAUG